ACACACAUAUUUAUAUAUAUAUGCAUAUACAUACAUAUAUAUGCAUAUACAUACAUACAUAUACAUAUACAUAUACAUACAUACAUACAUAUAUAUCCAUUAAUAUUUUAUGUAAUAUCUAUUUACGUGCAUUAGCUUCCAAGAGAAGGUCAUUAAAGGCCUCGGUGAUUAAGAAAAAAAAAGGAGAAAAGGGUGGAACUUCAUCCAAAGGGAGUUCUUCUCCAACUUUCUGAUAAAAUUAUUUAUUAGUAAAAUAAAUAUUUCAUAUAUUAAUAAAAUAUAUCUUUUUUAAAAUAGUUAUUUAAUUAAAAAUUUAUAUAUUUUAAAGGUGGUAUAUUUUUUAAAUAAAAGAGGUAGCAUUGGUGGUCUCUGUUUGCCACGUACAAUAUUUUCAUAGUUUAGGAGAAAAGAAAAGAUGAAAUCUUGUGACUCUUCAUGCAUUUUUGUGGUUGGUUUUGUUAUAGUCCCAAUACGAGAUUCUCAUCACAUGUUACUUAAAAGGAACUGCAUGGGAUAGAAUGCAUUGAUCGUGUGGAGGAGGCUACAUGGAGGUGACCUUUUUCUGGCAAGGCGAAGCAUUGACGUCUUACAUUAGUCGGGGAUUAAUUUUUCCUACUUCAUUCAAUGUGGUCCAUACCAUCAUUUCCUAUUAGUUUAAACUUUUAUAUAUAUGCGGAACAGCUGCAUUCCAUGUCUCUCUGAACAAAUGGUCUUAAAAUCAAUGGACGGAAGCAUAAUGAUAACAUGGUGAUGGUGAGUGUCAUCGCUUUGAUAGCAAUAGUGAUUAUUGGGAUAUAUUUUUUUUAUAAAACUAGAAAGCUUCUUGUACGACAUGUCUAGAAGAUUAUAUUUCGAUAUAUUAAUUAUAAAUAAUAAUAUUUUAGUAAAAUAAUAAUGUUAAUAAUAUUGAUAAUAAUAGUAUUUUAAAAAAUAUCUUUUAGUAAAUUUUAUUUUUUAUUAAUAAUAUUUUUAGAAGAUUAAUAAUAUUUAAUGAUAUCAGGAGGGGCACAUAUUAUUAGAGGAGGGGGUGAGAGAGAGAAAAAUGCAAACUCCUAAUUUUAAUAAAGAGAACAGAGGAAGAUGGUUUCUUUUAAUGCAAAUAUCCAUUUUUCGUCGAUCUUUUCUAUAGAGAUAAUAGGAUAGAAGCAAUUAUACCUAUAGAGGAGGCUGGAGGCAUUGAAGAGUAGAGAAGAGCCAUAAGAAAUAAAAUGAGAAUGUUUUACUCCAUCCAGUGUUGCACCCAACUGCAUAUAAGUCAUUCUUUCACUAGCUAAAAAGUAUGUCCUACCAAGAUGUAGAUCUAUCACUAAGAGUGGUAUUAAACUCAAUUGGUCCUUUUAUAAAUAGUACAAGAUGAAAGCAUGAUUUUUUUUUUUAAUGAUUUGAUGACUAACACUAAUGAACUACAUAGCUUCAAAGGGAGGUGUAUGGGCAGCAUGUCUAGAGAUUAUAUUUUAAUACAUUAAUUGAAAGUAAUAAUAUUUAAGUAAAAAUACUAUAAUUAACAACAUUAAUAAUACCGAUAAUACUAAUGAUAUUUGAAUAAAAUAGUAUUUUGUAGCAAAAAAUAAAUUUUUUAUUAAUAAUACUUUUAGAAGAUUAAUAAUAUUUAAUAAUAUAUUAAUGUAUUAAUAAAAUAAUAUUUCUAAUAAAACUAAUAAAAUGUUUAUUAAUAAAGUAAUAUUUUAUAUAUAAUAAAAUAUAUUAUUUUAUAAAUUACUAUAUAAUUAAUAAAAAUAUGUUAAGGGUAGUAUAAUUAAUGCACGGGUUAUAUGCUAGUGUAUUAUAAACCUGCUGUCUUUUUAAGGAAGUGCAAGAUAUUUGGCUUUGAGACUUGAAGACUAUUUAACUUUGUGUAUGGUUGACACUGGUGGAGAUCUCACUAUUGCAAGCUAUCAGAUAAAUAGAGAUCAUAUACAAGCUAUACUUAGAGAUCUCCGAAAAACUCCCCAACACUGCACCACAAAGAAAAAAAGAGAGAGAUUUUGGAUACAAUCGUAUACAAGCUAUUACUUAGAAAUCUUGCUGAGAGUUAUUUUUCAUAAAAUUCUAGAUAUAAUUGCCUUUGCUGUUUGGACUAUCUGAAAUCAGAAUUAAGUUGCCUUUUUUAUCUGGAUUCUCUAAAAUCUCAGUCAUCAAUAAAUCAUGAUUACUGCUGUUCGACAUCAAAACAAGACUCCGCUCUAAUCCAGAUAUUAAGGAUUCUGUUACCUAGAUAGUAGGUGGUAAUUGGUAAGUAAUCCUCUCAAAUAUUGCUCCUGUACCCUGGAUAACAGUCCUUAUUUCUUUUCCACCUCCCAUCUUUGUUUUUUCCCUCCCAUACAUGCCCUCUCACUCUCUUUCUCAUCUUAUUUUUCUUGUGCUAGUAUGAAAUGUUAUCAUUUGGCCAAAUAUUUCUUCAAUAUUUUUUUUUUGAUGUGUGGUAACUUAUUCUCUCUUAUUCUUCUUCUUCCUCUUCUUCUUCUUCUUCUUCCUCUUCUUCUUCUUCUUUUUUCUCAAAAUAUUCUUUGUUUUCAUCAAAACUAAGACUAGCAAUAUGAUACUAUAGAUUACAUCAUCAGACUUGCAAUCUUGCAUGCAAUUUAUACAUUUAUUGUGUUGAAGCUGGGUUCAUUAACAAUAUUUUUUUUAAAAAAAAAAUUGUCUUCUCACCAAGAGAAUGGCAAUUAGCUAAAUCAUUUACUUGAUAUAGGAUGCGUACUUUCAUGUUAAUGAACUCAUCUAAUUGCUAGGGUUCAUGUAGGAAAAGUCAAUCUCUUUGCAAAAAUUAUGCCAAAUUGUUAUAUGCUUAAUUUGUGAGAGACAUAAUAUGUAUUGCUGACAUUUUAAUUCAAAAUUUUUGAUAAAACUUGGAUAAAUUAUUGCUUCUCUCCCAAAAUCCUGGUUCUGCCGCUGGUGGUUGAUGAGAUAGGUCUUUAUUUUGCUUCCCAUAUUAUGAACUGUUAUCCUUAUUAAUUCUUUAUUCCUAUUCUUCCACCUUUUGGACUGAUUGUUGCAAAUUUUCUUUCAAUAUUUUUAACCAAAAAUUAUAGAUGAUGUAUCAAAGAGGAAAUCUGACUUAUAGAAGCAGAAAAAGAAAGACAGAUACUGGAAUGGUGAUUGAAGAAAGAGAAACAAAGAGGCUGUCGGACAUUUGAUUAAAUCUCUCUUGAGAAGAUAUUAUAUAAAUUACCUCCUUAGGUGUUAGCCUCCAUAGGCUGUCUUCCUUUUUACCUCAUCACGACACUUGUCAUGUGGUACCACAGUUCUACUACUUGUUGGCGAUAUAAUCAUUGUUGAUGGUGAUGACUCCAUUGCCUCUUGAAGCAGCAUCUUUGACAAUCAUUGCAAUUUAUAAAGCUCCCUUCAUCAUUUUGCAUGUCUCCUAAGAUUUCAUUUUCUCCUUAAUGGCAUCUGUUUUUGGUAUGAUAUAACUUUGACUCUUGUAAUGAAUGCGUAUUUAAUUUCUCUAUUGAUGAAACUAUUUUGGAACUUUGUUUGAAGUUUUGUUCCAUGAAAAUGAUGAUUUCCACUAAUACAUCACCUGGCAUAGGCUGGUGAGUUGUCUUGACUUAAUAUUAUGCACCUUACUUCUAGUGCUAUGCAUUCUUUCAUGUCUUCUCUUAUGCUUUUUCAUUGGAAAAUCAAAUUUUCUUCAACCUUUUGCACUUUCUUUUAAACUUCAAUCAUCAAUUAGAGUAACAUGUAGCAAGAUACUGUUUCCUCUCUCUCCUCUGAUGCUUUUCCAAUGGAACAUCAAAUUUUCAUCGACACUGUGUUGGCUU
rnacentral:lncRNA from 1 species